rnacentral:rRNA from 1 species
UACGAAGGGAGCUAGCGUUGUUCGGAAUCACUGGGCGUAAAGCGCACGUAGGCGGCUUUGUAAGUCAGGGGUGAAAUCCCGGGGCUCAACCUCGGAACUGCCUUUGAUACUGCAAAUCUCGAGUCCGAUAGAGGUGGGUGGAAUUCCUAGUGUAGAGGUGAAAUUCGUAGAUAUUAGGAAGAACACCGGUGGCGAAGGCGGCCCACUGGAUCGGUACUGACGCUGAGGUGCGAAAGCGUGGGGAGCAAACAGG